AAAAUGCGAUAAGUAAUGUGAAUUGCAGAAUUCAGUGAAUCAUCGGAUCUUUGAACGCACAUUGCGCCCGCCAGUAUUCUGGCGGGCAUGCCUGUUCGAGCGUCAUUUCAACCAUCAAGCCCCCGGCUUGUGUUGGGGACCUGCGGCUGCCCGCAGGCCCUGAAAAACAGUGGCGGGCUCGCUGUCACACCGAGCGUAGUAGCAUACAUUCUCGCUCAGGGCGUGCUGCGGGUUCCGGCCGUUAAACGACCUUCAUAACCCAAGGUUGACCUCGGAUCAGGUAGGAAGACCCGCUGAACUUAAGC
rnacentral:misc_RNA from 1 species